rnacentral:rRNA from 1 species
CCUACGGGUGGCAGCAGUGGGGGAUAUUGCACAAUGGGGGAAACCCUGAUGCAGCGACGCCGCGUGGGUGAAGAAGCGCCUCGGCGCGUAAAGCCCUGUCAGCAGGGAAGAAAAUGACGGUAACUGAAGAAGAAGGCCCGGCUAAAUACGUGCCAGGAGCCGCGGGAAUACGUAGGGGGCAAGCGUUCUCCGGAUUUACUGGGGGGAAAGGGGGCGCAGACGGCGGUGCAAGCCAGGAGUGAAAGCCCGGGGCCCAACCCCGGGACUGCUCGUGGAACUGCGUGGCUAGAGUGCCGGAGGGGCAGGCGGAAUUCCUGGUGUAGCGGUGAAAUGCGUAGAUAGCAGGAGGAACACCGGUGGCGAAGGCGGCCUGCUGGACUGCAACUGACGUUGAGGCCCGAAAGCGUGGGGAGCAAACAGGAUUAGAUACCCCAGUAGUC